GUUCAGCAAGUGUUACCAUGGUAACCAGACAAAAUGAGUGGGUUCAACCAUUACUGGCUCUCAUAUUGCACU
rnacentral:sRNA from 1 species